AAUAGAUACCCGGGUAGUCCACGCCGUAAACGAUGGAUGCUAGCCGUUGGCAGGCUUGCCUGUCAGUGGCGCAGCUAACGCAUUAAGCAUCCCGCCUGGGGAGUACGGUCGCAAGAUUAAAACUCAAAGGAAUUGACGGGGGGCCCGCACAAGCGGUGGAGCAUGUGGUUCAAUUCGAAGCAACGCGCAGAACCUUACCAACCUUUGACAUGUCCCGUAUGGGUUUCAGAGAUGAGAUCCUUCAGUUCGGCUGGCGGGAACACAGGUGCUGCAUGGCUGUCGUCAGCUCGUGUCGUGAGAUGUUGGGUUAAGUCCCGCAACGAGCGCAACCCUCGCCCUUAGUUGCCAUCAUUCAGUUGGGCUCUCUAAGGGGACUGCCGGUGAUAAGCCGCGAGGAAGGUGGGGAUGACGUCAAGUCCUCAUGGCCCUUACAGGUUGGGGCUACACACGUGCUACAAAUGGCGGUGACAGUGGGGAUGCAAUGGAGCGAUCCUGCGCAAAUCUCAAAAAGCCGU
rnacentral:rRNA from 1 species